rnacentral:lncRNA from 1 species
AAUCAAGAUCAAUGAAUGGUAUUAUAGAGAAACUGUAGUAGUGUGGGGUUGGCCUAGAAAUGACAUGAAAGACACACUAUCUAGUGAGACUGUACUGUCUGUACUGUCACACAUACACAUAAAUCUCUCCCUCCACACAGGUAUGGUUCAUAGCCUACAGUGUCUCUUCUAUUACCCUGAUGCCACCAACACCCUGGAGAAUGUUUCAGUGAUUGAAGCAUAUGCCACCCUUCUACCCUUUCUUACCCAGAAUUUUGUGAUGUAAACCUUCCUCUCGUGGAGGGGCUUGCUUUUGGGGGGGAUGUUGUGGGAAAUAUUUAAAAAUGACAACAUCCUGCACUAUAUCCAGCUACUCUCUACUUUAGGGGCCUCAAUCUCACAGCCUCCCUCAGCCAUCUACCCCCUGUAGCUAAUUGUCACAAAUCCCCUUAACCCAGUGAAUCAAAACUCUAGAAGCUUAUAGUUUCAGUCAGUCAGAUUUAUUUAUCGAUAAAAUCUCACCCCACAAAAAAAUCCACACAAUUUACUCUGAGCCAAUUGAUAUUGAUAUAAAAUGCCCACCUGGGUAAGGCAAAUUGUUCUAUAAUUAUCCAUUCCUUAUAAACAUUCAUAGCUACCUAUGACUACCUGUGGUUACCUGUGGGGAGAAGGUUCACAGGUUCACCUGUGUACAUGAUUCACUCCUUGUCUGCAACCCCUCGUGGGAAAGCAGCAUUAGCAUCAAAAUACAAGCAACACCAGGGCUAUCCACAACAGGGGAAUUAUUGUCAUCAGACAUUCUAGCUCAUGUCUAGGGAAAUGCUGGGAAAUUGGUUAAUUGUACAGUAAAACUACAAGUUGUAUUCAUCCACAGGCUCAGAGAUGCAUAUGAUCAGCACUAUUAUUGAUCUGCUGACAGAGGCAGCACACAAAAAGGGAACAGCUAGUGCUGGAGAACUGGGAUAGGGUCUGGAGCAAGAAGUAGAAAGAGUCAAGAUAGUGUUAUAGGUUGAAUUGUGUAUUCCUUACUUCUUAUAGAACAUAGAUGUGAGUGUGACCUUUUGGAGAAAGAGUUUUGCAGAUGAAAUUAAAUUAAGAAGAGAUUGUGGGCCAGGCGGUGGUGAUACACACCUUUAACCCCAACACUCGGGAGGCAGAGUUAGGUGGGUUUCUGAGUUUGAGACCAGCCUGGCCUACAAAGUGAGUUCCAGGACAACCAGGGCUACACAGAGAAACCCUGUCUCAAAAAAACAAGAAGAGAUUGUGCUUGAUCAAGGUGAGCCCUGUCCAGUAUGACUGAUGCCUUUAUCAGAAAGGAAAAUAGUGACAUAGAUACAAAGAAGUGGGCAUGUUGGGAUGGAAAGGACAGUGGGUUAAUAGAUCUUGUAGCCCAGGGACUUUAGAGACUACU